AUUGAACGCUGGCGGCAGGCCUAACACAUGCAAGUCGAACGGUAACAGGAAGCAGCUUGCUGCUUCGCUGACGAGUGGCGGACGGGUGAGUAAUGUCUGGGAAACUGCCUGAUGGAGGGGGAUAACUACUGGAAACGGUAGCUAAUACCGCAUAACGUCGCAAGACCAAAGAGGGGGACCUUCGGGCCGCUUGCCAUCGGAUGGGCCCAGAAGGGAUUAGCUAGUAGGUGGGGUAACGGCUCACCUAGGCGACGAUCCCUAGCUGGUCUGAGAGGAUGACCAGCCACACUGGAACUGAGACACGGUCCAGACUCCUACGGGAGGCAGCAGUGGGGAAUAUUGCACAAUGGGCGCAAGCCUGAUGCAGCCAUGCCGCGUGUAUGAAGAAGGCCUUCGGGUUGUAAAGUACUUUCAGCGGGGAGGAAGGGAGUAAAGUUAAUACCUUUGCUCAUUGACGCUACCCGCAGAAGAAGCACCGGCUAACUCCGUGCCAGCAGCCGCCGUAAGAC
rnacentral:rRNA from 1 species